GUUGAGGUCUAUCCUGAUGGGGCUUUUUCUAUAGACCUACAUUGUUGGAAAUACCUCAUAGAGUAACUAUGUGAUUUCCUUUACUCACAGAACUAUAUGUUAAAUUUGUGGGAAAGAACUACAAGACAGAG